rnacentral:rRNA from 1 species
GUUUCAAACUGGGAUUAGAUACCCCACUAUGCUUAGAAGUAAACCCAGGCAGCUCACCCAACCACCUGCCCGCCAGAAGACUACAAGUGAAAAACUUGAAACUCAAAGGACUUGACGGUGUCCCACAUCACCCUAGAGGAGCCUGUCCUAUAAUCGAUAACCCCCGCUAUACCCAACCUGCCCUAGAAUAAACCCAGCCUAUAUACCGCCGCCUUCAGCUCACCUUAUGAAAGACCCUCCGUGAGCCCAACAGUCACCACUAAAACGCCAGGUCAAGGUGUAGCUAAUGAGCAGGAAGCGAUGGGCUACAUUUUCUUUCCACAGAACAUCACCACCAGCGCCACGAAGCAGGCGCCAAAAGGCGGAUUUAGUAGUAAAUCGAGCAAACCUGCCCGCUUGAACCCUGCCCUGGGACACGUACACACCGCCCGUCACCCUCCUGCAGUC